GAAAUGCGAUAAGUAAUGUGAAUUGCAGAAUUCAGUGAAUCAUCGAAUCUUUGAACGCACAUUGCGCCCUUUGGUAUUCCGAAGGGCAUGCCUGUUCGAGCGUCAUUUCACCACUCAAGCCUGGCUUGGUAUUGGGCGUCGCGGUUCGUCCGCGCGCCUCAAAGUCUCCGGCUGAGCUGUCCGUCUCUAAGCGUUGUGAUCCAUAUUCGCUUCGGAGUGCGGGCGGCCGCGGCCGUUAAAUCUUUCACAAGGUUGACCUCGGAUCAGGUAGGGAUACCCGCUGAACUUAA
rnacentral:misc_RNA from 1 species